GGGGGCGACUGGUUUCGACAUGGUCAUCCUGAGAGGUGAAGCAGGCCGUGGUCUCCUCACCACGUUAAACAGGGGUACUUGUCAAUACAUGACAAGCCUCAGUACGCUCUCGCCGCUUAAUUAGCUGGCGACGUCAAUCCGAUGUCCACCUUCAGCAUCGGUGCGACGCCAUGCAUGAGGGUUGCUCCCGCGCACGUAGCCGGUAUGGCGCGGGCUAAGACCGAACCGACUGGGGUGCCGACCGCCUGACGGCGUGCGGGACGCACCUGAGACUCAACACGCCUUCUGAGCCUGGAGAAGCCCUCAGGGGAUGGUCAUGGACCGGAGUUCGAUUCUCCGCGCCUCCACCA
rnacentral:tmRNA from 1 species